UCAGAGAGUGGCUGACACACACUCCGCACAUACUGCAUGCUGGGCCUUGGAGGGGAAAUGUUGAAUAAGAGAGAUAGCUCAGCACUGGGGAAGCUGACACAAUAACAGUGAUUCCACCACUGUGUUUAUUUGUAUUUUUUUAAUCAAUUUAUUCUUUUUGAGACAGAGUCUUGCUCUGUCGCCCAGGCUGGAGUGCAAUGGCACAAUCUCGGCUCACUGCAACCUCCACCUCCCAGGUUCAAGCAGUUCUGCCUCAGCCUCCCGAGUAGCUGGGACUACAUUUGUGCACCACUUUGCCCAGCUAAUUUUUGUAUUUUUAGUAAAGAGACAGUUUCGCCAUGUUGGCCAGGCUGGUCUCAAACUCCUGACCUCAGGUGAUCAGCCCGCCUCAGCCUUACAAAGUGCUGGGAUUACAGGCGUGAAGCCACCGUGCCCGGCCCCCACCACUGUGUUUAAUUCUAACCAAGGAGAAGAGGAAGUUCUGAAAGGAGAACAAAGAGAUCUGAGAACCCGGCUCGGGACUGGCCAGGGGCCUCCUCUCAGAGGAAAGCUCUCCCUGUUGCGUCCCUCCACGCCGGGGCCUGCAUGGAGUGGGCACGGUUUUUGAUACCUGCCUUGCUGACCUUCAGCUCCGAUUUCUUCAUCUGAAAGUGAGGAUAAAAGAAUUAACCCCUCUUUCUAGUCAGAUGCCUACUAGAUUCAUUUACCUGCUUGAAUUUGAGAUGUAUUGCCAGGAUACACCUCCACAGUCUGAUGGAACACACUGAAGAUAUCUUAACAACAAAAGGCAGAUGCCUUUCAAUCAUCUGAGUGAGCCCAGUGCAAUCUGAAGGGUCCCUACAGGUGGAAGAGGCAGGGGCCAGGAUCCAAGGACCUGCAGCCUCUGGAAGCCGGGCAAGGAAGUGGAUACCCCGGGAGCCUCCAGCAGGAAGGAAGCCCCGCGGACGCUCUAACUUCAGCCCCGCAGAACUGGUCAGAUUUCUAGCCUGCAGCUCUGUAAGGGGAGACGUUUGUGUUGUUUGAGGCCACCGAGUCUGGUCGUCUGUGCCGGCAGCUGCAGGAGCCCAGGCCACCAUCCCCACGAGGUCCAUAUGCUGUGACGUCUGCCUGGGCAUUCUGCACAGGGUCUUUAUUUUCUCUUCCCCUCCCUUGCAAGUCCCAAGUUUCUUCAGCAUUGCAAUGUGGUUGAAAGACUACAAUUGUCUGUCACUUGUCAUCUGAUUUAGCUCUGUGACUGUUCUGGAAGCAAAGCUCAAUUGUGGAGGAUUUCCGGGGCUGGUCAUUAGAAGGACAGACAGCUGGAGUAUCCUUUAAUCUCACCACUCUUCCCAUUUCUCCUUUCUAUUCUCUGGAAUGUGGGUGUGAUGGCUGAUGGCUGGAGCUCUACCAGCCAUUUUUGACCAUGAGGCAUCCUGAAAGAUUUUAGAUUCAUGUUUGCAUCAUGGAGCUGCCACACUGGUCUUGCCUGCUUUAGGACUUUUUUUUUACUUUGAGAUAUGGUCUUGUUCUGUCACCAAAGCUGGAAUGCAGUGGCGAGGGCUCAAGCCAUACUCCCACUUCAGCUUCUCAAGUAGAUGGGACCACAGGUGUGUGCCACCAUGCCCGGCUAAUUUUUUUUUCAUUAUUAUUUGCAAAGAUGGGGCUUGCGAUGUUGCUCAGGCUGGUCUUGAACUGGGCUCAAGCGAUUCUCCCACUUCGGCCUCCCAAAGUGCUGGGAUUACAGACAUGAGCCACCACACCCAACUUGCUUUAGGAUCUUUUUAAAAAAAGAGACGGAGAAGUAAGCUUCUAUUUUAUCUAAACCAUUGUUAUUUCUAGUCUCUACUAUGAGUCCAAAUCCGAAUCCGAACUGAUCCACUGAGUCAAUGAGUACAAAAUUUCCCUCUAGCAUGUUUGGCACUCAUUUACAUGCAAGAGCAUGUUUCUUCUUAUUUUUGCAGAAUUCAGAUAUAAAAAUUUUAGGCUGAGCAUGGUGGUUCACACCUGUAAUCCCAGUACUUUGAGAGGCCAAGGUGGGAGGAUCACUUGAGCCCAGCGAUUCAAGACCACCCUGGGCAAUGUAGUAUGACCCCAUCUGUAUGAAUAAUAAUAAUAGUAAUAAAUUAAGCUGGGCAUAGUGGUGUGUGCCUGUGGUCCCAGCUACUUGGUGGGCUAAGGUGGGAGAAUCACUUGGGCCCAGGUGGUCAAGGCUGCAGUCAGCUGUGAUCAUGCCACUGCACUCCAACCUGGGUGACAGAGCAAGACCCCAUCUCAAAAAGAAAAACCUCUUUGCCAAUCUAAGAAGUCAAAAUGCAUAUUAUUUUUGUUGCUUUAUCUUUAAUUCUGCUUCCAACGAAUGGGCCCCUCCUUCCCUCCUCCUCUCUUCUUAUUUUCUGUUUGCUUCCUUUCUUACAAAUACACAAGUGAUUUAUUACAUGCUCAUGGUGAAAAUUCAAACAAGGACUUUCAGUUCUGGAAGUAUUUUUAACUAGACAUUAUGAAAACUCUUUUGCCAUACAACACCAAAAAUGGUAGAUAAAUUGUAAUAGGUAUCUUUUAAAUGUAAAGUUGAGCUUGCAAAAAGAUCAAGAAAAUCUUCAGGAGGACAAAGAAAAGAGGAAGCAAGAACACAGAAUGGAAGGCCAGCCCUGAAGUCUUAAUCACCGCGAGACCAUCCAGGCAUGUUUCUGGAUGUCAGACAGUAACAAUAUACUAGAACUUUGAGCCUUGGAGUUUAACAGAUGUGUGGGGGCAGGAGUGCACAUUUGGAAAGAGUACCUGAAUAAGGCUUGGUCCUGAAAGGGAUAUGACCUCAGGGAAAGGGUGGGAGAGUGAAAAAUCUGUCCAUGGUCGAAGAGUGAUAUUGACAUAAUUUGUCUAGUCAUCUGAUCUGGGUGGGGAAAAAGAAGUUGUGUGAUAUUUGAGCAAGAUUUUGCCUAAAGGAGAUUAAUGACUGGUGAAAGGAAAUACAGAGGGCUUGCUGGACCAGGAUCCCCUAGGGGGCUGGAGCAACCGGAGAAGGGGAAGAGAGAUUGAGUGACAUUUCCCACACUAGCCACUAGGUGGGGCCAUUAACUCAGGACAGCAUGGUUGCCCUCUCAUUGUACAAACUGGAUUUCCCACUCCCACCUCCUUGCUUAAGAAUUGGUGAUGGAAGGAUAAAAGAGACAAUCUCAGUAAAUCCAGAGAUAGAAAUCAGACUCGUAGUUGUCAGGGGCUGGGGGAAGAAGGGAGUGGGGAAUGACUGCUAAUGGGUACAAGGUUUCCUUUUGAGGGUGAUAGAAAUGUUCUGGAACUAAAUAGAGGACGUGGUUGCACACACUGUAAAUGUACUAAAUGCUGCUGAAUUGUACACUUAAAAUGGUUAAUUUUUUAAAAAGCAAAUAAAGAAUGAUCCAGUCUUGAA